rnacentral:rRNA from 1 species
GAUGAACGCUAGCGGCAGGCUUAAUACAUGCAAGUCGAGGGGUAGCAAGAUUGUAGCAAUACAAUUGUUGACGACCGGCAAACGGGUGCGGAACACGUACACAACCUUCCUACAAGUGGGGAAUAGCCCAGAGAAAUUUGGAUUAAUACCCCGUAACAUAGCGAUGUGGCAUCACAUUGCUAUUAUAGCUUCGGCGCUUGUUGAUGGGUGUGCGGCUGAUUAGAUAGUUGGCGGGGUAACGGCCCACCAAGUCUACGAUCAGUAGCUGAUGUGAGAGCAUGAUCAGCCACACGGGCACUGAGACACGGGCCCGACUCCUACGGGAGGCAGCAGUAAGGAAUAUUGGACAAUGGACGCAAGUCUGAUCCAGCCAUGCCGCGUGAAGGAUUAAGGUCCUCUGGAUUGUAAACUUCUUUUAUAAGGGACGAAAAAAGGUCUUUCUAGAUCGUCUGACGGUACCUUGUGAAUAAGCACCGGCUAACUACGUGCCAGCCGCCGCCGUAAUAC